rnacentral:lncRNA from 1 species
UUUUUGAAUACUACAACUUAAGAGUACUAAAACUAUUACAAUAUUCACGUUUAAUAAUUAGGCAUUAAGCAAUCAAGUAUAAUCUGCUUUCAAAAAUUUGGAUCCACCCUUAUAACCACAUCUAAUCAAAAGCAAUACUUCUUCCCAAACAGAAAGGGAAAAGUAUCUAACUAAUACUAGAAUUUAUGCAAGUUUAGAUAUUAAUAAGAAUAGUGAAACUCACAAGCUUUGCGCCUUGCUU